rnacentral:rRNA from 1 species
GACGAACGCUGGCGGCGUGCUUAACACAUGCAAGUCGAACGGUGAAGCGCCUUCCUUUUUGGUGGGUGUGGAUGAGUGGCGAACGGGUGAGUAACACGUGAGUAACCUGCCCCCUUCUUCUGGAUAACCGCAUGAAAGUGUGGCUAAUACGGGAUAUUCUGGGUCUGUCGCAUGAUGGGUCUGGGAAAGAUAUUGUUUCGGUGGGGGAUGGGCUCGCGGCCUAUCAGCUUGUUGGUGGGGUGAUGGCCUACCAAGGCGGUGACGGGUAGCCGGCCUGAGAGGGUGGGCGGGCACACUGGGACGGAGACACGGCCCAGACUCAGAGGGGGGGGAGGAGGGGGGAAAAGUGCAAAAGGGGCGAAAGCCUGAGGCAGGGGCGCCGCGUGGGGGAGGGGGGCCUUGGGGUUGGGAACCUUUUUCCCCAGGGAAGAAGGCCUGCCUCGUUGGGGGGGGGGUUGACGGUAGCGGGAUAAGAAGCGCCGGCUAACUACGG